GUCGAACGAUGAUGCCCAGCUUGCUGGGUGGAUUAGUGGCGAACGGGUGAGUAACACGUGAGUAACCUGCCCCUGACUCUGGGAUAAGCGUUGGAAACGACGUCUAAUACUGGAUAUGAUCACUGGCCGCAUGGUCUGGUGGUGGAAAGAUUUUUUGGUUGGGGAUGGACUCGCGGCCUAUCAGCUUGUUGGUGAGGUAAUGGCUCACCAAGGCGACGACGGGUAGCCGGCCUGAGAGGGUGACCGGCCACACUGGGACUGAGACACGGCCCAGACUCCUACGGGAGGCAGCAGUGGGGAAUAUUGCACAAUGGGCGAAAGCCUGAUGCAGCAACGCCGCGUGAGGGAUGACGGCCUUCGGGUUGUAAACCUCUUUUAGUAGGGAAGAAGCGAAAGUGACGGUACCUGCAGAAAAAGCACCGGCUAACUACGUGCCAGCAGCCGCGGUAAUACGUAGGGUGCAAGCGUUGUCCGGAAUUAUUGGGCGUAAAGAGCUCGUAGGCGGUUUGUCGCGUCUGCUGUGAAAUCCCGAGGCUCAACCUCGGGCUUGCAGUGGGUACGGGCAGACUAGAGUGCGGUAGGGGAGAUUGGAAUUCCUGGUGUAGCGGUGGAAUGCGCAGAUAUCAGGAGGAACACCGAUGGCGAAGGCAGAUCUCUGGGCCGUAACUGACGCUGAGGAGCGAAAGCAUGGGGAGCGAACAGGAUUAGAUACCCUGGUAGUCCAUGCCGUAUACGUUGGGCGCU
rnacentral:rRNA from 1 species